UUAAGUGAAUAAGGGCGCACGGUGGAUGCCUUGGCACUAGGAGCCGAUGAAGGACGGGACUAACACCGAUAUGCUUUGGGGAGCUGUACGUAAGCUAUGAUCCAGAGAUUUCCGAAUGGGGGAACCCAGCAUCUUUAAUAGGAUGUUACGAUUGUGUGAAUACAUAGCACAUUCGAGGUAGACGCAGAGAACUGAAACAUCUAAGUACCUGCAGGAAGAGAAAGAAAAUUCGAUUCCCUGAGUAGCGGCGAGCGAAACGGGAAAAGCCCAAACCAACAAGCUUGCUUGUUGGGGUUGUAGGACUCCAAUAUGGUCGUUCUUUCAGAUAGUCGAAUGACUUGGAAAAGUCAGUCAAAGAGGGUAAAAACCCCGUAGACGAAAUGUGGAAGACACCUAGGAGGAUCCUGAGUACGGCGGAACACGAGAAAUUCCGUCGGAAUCCGGGAGGACCAUCUCCCAAGGCUAAAUACUCCCUAGUGACCGAUAGUGAACCAGUACCGUGAGGGAAAGGUGAAAAGCACCCCGGAAGGGGAGUGAAAUAGAACCUGAAACCGUGUGCCUACAACAAGUCAAAGCCCGUUAAUGGGUGAUGGCGUGCCUUUUGUAGAAUGAACCGGCGAGUUACGAUUGCAUGCGAGGUUAAGUUGAAGAGACGGAGCCGCAGCGAAAGCGAGUCUGAAUAGGGCGUUUGAGUAUGUAGUCGUAGACCCGAAACCAUGUGAUCUACCCAUGUCCAGGUUGAAGGUGCGGUAAAACGCACUGGAGGACCGAACCCACGUACGUUGAAAAGUGCGGGGAUGAGGUGUGGGUAGCGGAGAAAUUCCAAACGAACUUGGAGAUAGCUGGUUCUCUCCGAAAUAGCUUUAGGGCUAGCCUCGGAAUUGAGAAUGAUGGAGGUAGAGCACUGUUUGGACUAGGGGCCCAUCUCGGGUUACCGAAUUCAGAUAAACUCCGAAUGCCAUUCAUUCAUAUCCGGGAGUCAGACUGUGAGUGAUAAGAUCCAUAGUCGAAAGGGAAACAGCCCAGACCACCAGCUAAGGUCCCAAAAUAUAUGUUAAGUGGAAAAGGAUGUGGGGUUGCACAGACAACUAGGAUGUUGGCUUAGAAGCAGCCACCAUUUAAAGAGUGCGUAAUAGCUCACUAGUCGAGUGACCCUGCGCCGAAAAUGUACCGGGGCUAAACAUAUUACCGAAGCUGUGGAGUACACCUUUAGGUGUAUUGGUAGGAGAGCGUUCUAAGGGCGUCGAAGGCAGAUCGUGAGGACUGCUGGAGCGCUUAGAAGUGAGAAUGCCGGUAUGAGUAGCGAAAGACAGGUGAGAAUCCUGUCCACCGAAUGACUAAGGUUUCCUGGGGAAGGCUCGUCCGCCCAGGGUUAGUCGGGACCUAAGCCGAGGCCGAUAGGCGUAGGCGAUGGAUAACAGGUUGAUAUUCCUGUACCCGUUGUUUUUGUUUGAGCAAUGGAGGGACGCAGGAGGCUAAGGAAUGCAGACGAUCGGAAAUGUCUGUCCAAGCAGUAAGUCUGAAGAGGAGUCAAAUGCUUCUUUUCUUAAGGACAAGCUGUGAUGGGGAGGGAAAUAAUAGUACCGAAGUUCCUGAUGUCACACUGCCGAGAAAAGCUUCUAGUGAGAAAACAGCGGCCCGUACCGCAAACCGACACAGGUAGUCGAGGAGAGAAUCCUAAGGUGAGCGAGAGAACUCUCGUUAAGGAACUCGGCAAAAUGACCCCGUAACUUCGGGAGAAGGGGUGCUGAUCAUACGAUCAGCCGCAGUGAAUAGGCCCAAGCGACUGUUUAUCAAAAACACAGGUCUCUGCAAAAUCGUAAGAUGAAGUAUAGGGGCUGACGCCUGCCCGGUGCUGGAAGGUUAAGAGGAGUGCUUAGCGCAAGCGAAGGUACGAAUUGAAGCCCCAGUAAACGGCGGCCGUAACUAUAACGGUCCUAAGGUAGCGAAAUUCCUUGUCGGGUAAGUUCCGACCCGC
rnacentral:rRNA from 1 species